ACACUGCUGAGGAGUCCCAUAAUAGGACGAAACGGCUGUCCAGUAC
rfam:Schistosoma rodhaini strain Burundi genome assembly, scaffold: SROB_scaffold0000324